CACAUACACACACACACCACCUUCAGCUACCAAAUUCUUAGCCAAGUAAGCAUGGCCAGCGUGAAGUCGACCCGUGCAGCGGCGGCCCUGGUGCUGGUAGCGGCACUGGCGCUGGCGCUGACGCUGGCGGAAGCGUCGUCCUGCCCCCAAGGAGAUUUCCCUGGAGAUUUCUGUGUCAGUGAAAUCGGCCGUGAUCUGGCAGCUGUGGGAUGAGCUCCUACCGCAUGAUCGCAUAAAAGUAAUUCAAGAGGAAUUGGCGGAAUUCUUUCUUUACCACGUCAUCAAUAAAGCCGGAGAAUACCAUGUGUAACUUGACUUCAGAUAUUAAGGAUUGUAAUAGAUCUUAUAUUGUAUAUAUGUAGCUACUAGCGUCGGAUAGAUAUACGAAAACUUAUUGUUCAACCAAUCUCUCGAAGAAUGAGAGGUCGACCACUUCUCUCUAUAUAUGUUCAUGACGAUCUUCUAUA